ensembl:lncRNA
GGAAAGUUUGCGGGACCAGGAAGUGAGUGAGUGGUCAGUGUUUGUGUUGUGCGGAAAGCAAUGGAUUAGCUGCGGGCAAUGAAUUAUGGAGCGGAAUCGGCUGGUACCUAACCGACCGCUAUGAUGGUGACCUCAAAAGGGUGACCAUCACUUCUCCCUGCGGGACCUGUCAAUUUCUUCAAGGGCUCAUAAUUGCUUUCCUCCAUGUAGUAUUAUCGGCUCAUGGUGUGUUAUCCAUGCUUGAUGCCGUAUCGAUACAUCGUUUCUUCCAUCACUCUGCGAACUGUCAGAUAACAACGCAGCCAACUGGGCAGAAAUCAUUUCCACAUAUUGAC